UCCGGUUUGUCACCGGCAGUCCCAUUAGAGUGCUCAACUGAAUGUAGCAACUAAUGGCAAGGGUUGCGCUCGUUGCGGGACUUAACCCAACAUCUCACGACACGAGCUGACGACAGCCAUGCAGCACCUGUGUUCAGGUUCCCUUUCGGGCACCUCUGCAUUUCUGCAGAGUUCCUGACAUGUCAAGGGUAGGUAAGGUGGGGAUGACGUAGACCUUGGACC
rnacentral:misc_RNA from 1 species